rnacentral:rRNA from 1 species
GCGUUAACGAACGAGACCUCGACCUGCUAAAUAGUUUUGUGAAUUCUUCGGGAUUUAUGUUUAAAACUUCUUAGAGGGACUAUCGGUGAUUUAGCCGACGGAAGUUCGAGGCAAUAACAGGUCUGUGAUGCCCUUAGAUGUUCUGGGCCGCACGCGCGCUACACUGAUACGUUCAUCGAGCAUACAACCUUGGUUGAAAGGCCUGGGUAAUCUUUUUAAACCGUAUCGUGCUGGGGAUAGAUUAUUGUAAUUUUUAAUCUUCAACGAGGAAUUCCUAGUAAACGCUGGUCAUCAACCAGCAUUGAUUACGUCCCUGCCCUUUGUACACACCGCCCGUCGCUAAUACCGAUUGAAUGGAUC